UACAUUUUUCACCACAAAAAUAGUUUCGACGUUGGAAACUUAUAAUAACGGUUUUUAGAGAUCCAUAAGGGGCUAUUUGCCAAGUGAAAGGUUCUCUGGAACCUGGAAGUUUUGGCUUCCUGGGAGGUUGGAUAAUUUGGCACCUUGUAAUGGAAAAUAUUGUGUUUGGUAACUUGUCUGGAGUUUUAAGGGAGAUUAAAAA
rnacentral:lncRNA from 1 species